rnacentral:rRNA from 1 species
GGACAAUGGGCGAAAGCCUGAUCCCGCCAUGCCGCGUGUGUGAAGAAGGUCUUCGGAUUGUAAAGCACUUUUAGUUGGGAGGAAGGGCAUUAACCUAAUACGUUAGUGUUUUGACGUUACCGACAGAAUAAGCACCGGCUAACUCUGUGCCAGCAGCCG